AGAGCUAUAGCUCAACUGGUAGAGUGUGCUUUCCUUGCAUGCACAAGGCCCUGGGUUCAAUCCCUAGCACCUCUU
rnacentral:tRNA from 1 species